rnacentral:rRNA from 1 species
GGAAUAUUGCACAAUGGGGGAAACCCUGAUGCAGCGACGCCGCGUGAGUGAUGAAGUAUUUCGGUAGGUAAAGCUCUAUCAGUAGGGAAGAAAAUGACGGUACCUGAGUAAGAAGCCCCGGCUAACGACGUGCCAGAAGCCGCGGUAAUACGUAGGGGGCAAGCGUUAUCCGGAUUUACUGGGUGUAAAGGGAGCGUAGGCGGCAAGGUAAGCCAGAAGUGAAAGCCCGUGGCUCAACUGCGGGACUGCUUUUGGAACUAUCUAGCUAGAUUGCAGGAGAGGUAAGUGGAAUUCCUAGUGUAGCGGUGAAAUGCGUAGAUAUUAGGAGGAACACCAGUGGCGAAGGCGGCUUACUGGACUGUAAAUGACGCUGAGGCUCGAAAGCGUGGGGAGCAAAC